rnacentral:lncRNA from 1 species
AUGGAAUUCCACAUCCCUGACCUGAAAUCCAUGGGACUCCAGAAGCCUGGGGCACAGAAUCGGCAUCCACAGGAUGUAUCUGCGUGGUACCCGAGAAGAUGCAAACUUGUGGGGGCGGUGUCUGCCGCCCACGCCAGGCCUUCUCUCCGUGUUGUGCAGGCCGGCGCUGGGGGACAGGGUUCUGAUUCCCUACCCUCCUCCCGCCUCCCCGGGCCGCCGCUCGGGACGUGGCGCCCUCUGCCGGAUGAUCGAAGCCUGGCCCCAAACCACUAACCACGUGGGUAGCGGCAUCCUUGAGUCGGGGCCGGAGGCAGGAAUUUAGCGAGACACCAUCGGGGAGGGGUAGGGAGAUCAGCUGGUCCGCUGGUCCCCUGCACGCGCCCUGGGGGUAAUGGUAAUCCCACCCCGCCCUGAAAUUCCAGGCCUGCGACUUUUAUCUUAGGAGCACACCCUCCCCAACAGCUCCUGGUUUCGCUCACUCCAUGCAGGGAGUUGCUGAGCUCACUCGUGGUCCUGUCCCCUCCGGUACCCCGGGCUGACUGUCCCCUGCCCAGGUGGUGGCAGAGGGAUCCCUGGAGCCUAGGCGCAGCAGGUAGGCACCAUGGCAUGGGCUGAUGAGUGCAGCCUCCUGGCUGGGGUAAGUAAAGCUCAUUUCUAAUAAAACCCUGCCGGCAGCAUGGUGGUGG